rnacentral:rRNA from 1 species
GGGUGACUGCGUACCUUUUGUAUAAUGGGUCAGCGACUUAUAUUCUGUAGCAAGGUUAACCGUAUAGGGGAGCCGAAGGGAAACCGAGUCUUAACUGGGCGUUAAGUUGCAGGGUAUAGACCCGAAACCCGGUGAUCUAGCCAUGGGCAGGUUGAAGGUUGGGUAACACUAACUGGAGGACCGAACCGACUAAUGUUGAAAAAUUAGCGGAUGACUUGUGGCUGGGGGUGAAAGGCCAAUCAAACCGGGAGAUAGCUGGUUCUCCCCGAAAGCUAUUUAGGUAGCGCCUCGUGAAUUCAUCUUCGGGGGUAGAGCACUGUUUCGGCUAGGGGGUCAUCCCGACUUACCAACCCGAUGCAAACUACGAAUACCGAAGAAUGUUAUCACGGGAGACACACGGCGGGUGCUAACGUCCGUCGUGAAGAGGGAAACAACCCAGACCGCCAGCUAAGGUCCCAAAGUCAUGGUUAAGUGGGAAACGAUGUGGGAAGGCACAGACAGCCAGGAUGUUGGCUUAGAAGCAGCCAUCAUUUAAAGAAAGCGUAAUAGCUCACUGGUCGAGUCGGCCUGCGCGGAAGAUGUAACGGGGCUAAACCAUGCACCGAAGCUGCGGCAGCGACACUAUGUGUUGUUGGGUAGGGGAGCGUUCUGUAAGCCGUUGAAGGUGGCCUGUGAGGGUUGCUGGAGGUAUCAGAAGUGCGAAUGCUGACAUAAGUAACGAUAAUGCGGGUGAAAAACCCGCACGCCGGAAGACCAAGGGUUCCUGUCCAACGUUAAUCGGGGCAGGGUGAGUCGACCCCUAAGGCGAGGCCGAAAGGCGUAGUCGAUGGGAAACAGGUUAAUAUUCCUGUACUUGGUGUUACUGCGAAGGGGGGACGGAGAAGGCUAUGUUGGCCGGGCGACGGUUGUCCCGGUUUAAGCAUGUAGGCGGAUGUUCCAGGUAAAUCCGGAGCGUCACUAACGCUGAGGUGUGAUGACGAGGCACUACGGUGCUGAAGUGACAAAUGCCCUGCUUCCAGGAAAAGCCUCUAAGCAUCAGGUAACAUCAAAUCGUACCCCAAACCGACACAGGUGGUCAGGUAGAGAAUACCAAGGCGCUUGAGAGAACUCGGGUGAAGGAACUAGGCAAAAUGGUGCCGUAACUUCGGGAGAAGGCACGCUGAUGGUAGGUGAAGUGACUUGCUCAUGGAGCUGAAAUCAGUCGAAGAUACCAGCUGGCUGCAACUGUUUAUUAAAAACACAGCACUGUGCAAACACGAAAGUGGACGUAUACGGUGUGACGCCUGCCCGGUGCCGGAAGGUUAAUUGAUGGGGUUAUCCUCGCGGAGAAGCUCUUGAUCGAAGCCCCGGUAAACGGCGGCCGUAACUAUAACGGUCCUAAGGUAGCGAAAUUCCUUGUCGGGU